UGGGGAAUCUUGCACAAUGGGCGAAAGCCUGAUGCAGCGACGCCGCGUGCGGGAUGACGGCCUUCGGGUUGUAAACCGCUUUCAGCAGGGACGAAGCGGAAGUGACGGUACCUGCAGAAGAAGCCCCGGCCAACUACGUGCCAGCAGCCGCGGUAAUACGUAGGGGGCGAGCGUUGUCCGGAUUUAUUGGGCGUAAAGAGCUCGUAGGCGGCUGUUCGAGUCGGGUGUGAAAUCCUGAGGCUUAACCUCGGGUCUACAUUCGAUACUGGGCGGCUUGAGUCAGGUAGGGGGAUCUGGAAUUCCUGGUGUAGCGGUGGAAUGCGCAGAUAUCAGGAGGAACACCGGUGGCGAAGGCGGGAUCCUGGGCCAGUACUGACGCUGAGGAGCGAAAGCGUGGGGAGCAAACAG
rnacentral:rRNA from 1 species